GAGCGGGGCCGUACUUGAGACUGUGUCGAACCAAUAGCUCAGACCCGCUAACCCAGCUCAAAUUUUCGUAUUACACUAGUGUUCCUGACUCUACAUGUUACAUCCAACUGCUCGAGCUCAUCCUGCUCCA
ensembl:snoRNA Y38E10A.32 ncRNA